CCUACGUGAGGCAGCAGUGAGGAAUAUUGGUCAAUGGGCGCGAGCCUGAACCAGCCAAGUAGCGUGAAGGAUGACUGCCCUACGGGUUAUAAACUUCUUUUAUAAAGGAAUAAAGUGAGGCACGUGUGCCUUUUUGUAUGUACUUUAUGAAUAGGGAUCGGCUAACUCCGUGCCAGCAGCCGCGGUAAUACGGAGGAUCCGAGCGUUAUCCGGAUUUAUUGGGUUUAAAGGGAGCGUAGAUGGGUUGUUAAGUCAGUUGUGAAAGUUUGCGGCUCAACCGUAAAAUUGCAAUUGAUACUGGCAGUCUUGAGUACAGUUGAGGUAGGCGGAAUUCGUGGUGUAGCGGUGAAAUGCUUAGAUAUCACGAAGAACUCCGAUUGCGAAGGCAGCUUACUAAACUGCCACUGACAUUGAUGCUCGAAAGUGUGGGUAUCAAACAGGAUUAGAUACCCCAGUAGUC
rnacentral:rRNA from 1 species